rnacentral:tRNA from 1 species
AGUUAAAUAGCUUAUAAUAAAGCAUAUAUUUUGAAAAUAUAAGAAAAGGGGAUACCCUUUUAACUU